rnacentral:lncRNA from 1 species
AUUUAUGCCAAGUCCUGAAGUUCCUCCAAAGCAUUUUUUUUUUUCUAAAUAGAGUUUGGAAAUCUCUUCAUUAAUGUUCCCAGUUGCUAAGCAACACCCCCUCUUUGCUUGUUGCCAUGGUUGCCCUUGAAUUAGGGAGGACACAAAGCCAUCUGUUUAAACCAAGACCCCUCCUCUCUCUAGAAUACGAACUGUUCUGUUCAUCCAGAGGCAAGAUACAAAAUAACUCCCCGACUGCUCAGCUGCAAUGCAUGUCAAUGUGGAAACAAAUGAAAAAUCCUACUCCAGUGGUCUGUAUGCCUUCUGAAGCUGCAUAUUCAUGAGAGAGACUCAAAUUACUGUGACCAAAUUGCAAAUCACUGGUAGAGAAACACUAACCCUGUAGGAAUUUCUUUGUUAAUCGUCCACUCAGUCACAUAUGUGCAAGAAUUCUUGAGAAGCAGAUUUGACUGAAGGGAAUGUGGAGG